rnacentral:lncRNA from 1 species
UUGACAGACCUGCAUAUUCAGGUUACUAGUCCAAAACCCUCCACAGUCUUAACCUCAACUGCUCAAAGAGAAACUCUACCAAUUUAAUCUGAUGGACUGUUUUUUGGAUUCCAUUUAAUGUGGAUGUUAACUUUUUGUUUUGUUUUCCAUGAUUUCAUGCUAUUACCAUCUAAUUAGAUUCAAAAUCAGGAAUUAGAAUUAGAAUGCAUGUAAUAAUUGUUAUUUUUCUUUUGAUCCUAGUUACAUUCUUGAUGCGAUGUAUAGUCUGUGUGUAUACAUAUGUGAGUGUGUGUACUGUACAAAUAGCAAUGGAUAUUAAAUCUGGAAUAUUAAUUUGAAACUGAGUUUUUCCUCAUGAAUACCUGAGCUUGAUGGAGUCUGUCUCCUUGAAUCUUGAUUGAUUGAUCUUCAAAAGCUGAGGUAAUGGUUACUUCCAAGCACGUAAGGCUGCUCUGAAGUCUGUCUUGCUAACCAAGGUGCUGAACAGAUAAUUUACACAUUGGAAACCAAGGGAUGUUUGGAUGUAUGAGAAUUGGGGCAAAUUGAAAUCAGUAUAAGAGGCUAAAUAUUAUUUGUGUCUCAGGGUAAUGUUUUCCUUUUGGGAUAUUUCAUACUGUACUUAGGACCUGAUAGUUUGAAGAAAAAAAAAUUCAAGCUAGAAUGCACUGUGGAGAGAAAGAGAAUGAUGCUGUGAAAAUUUAAAUCCCACAACUGUGUUGGCUAGAAAUAUAUCAGUUUUCAGGCAUCUGGACAUGAAUUUCUCAGCCUUUGAGAAAGGCAGACUCAACCAGCAUGCCCUUUCACUAUGACUGCCCCAGAAAUGUGGGAUGCUCUGUUUGAAACUGAGCUCUGUGUCAAUCCCUGAUGUCUCAAUUUCUGACACACUAAACACAAGCCAAAGAGGAAAUGUGCUUCUGAGGAGUGAAGCACCCUCGCUCUCAUUUUCUCACUAUCCUGCCUCAUGCCACUACUCUUCAGGUUGAUUGUUCUCAAGAACUGGGUCUUAGUGCUGAGUAAAGAAUACUUUUCCAAAGCAUUUCUUCCAAAGUAUAUCUUGAUGGAUUCUACAAAAUAUUAAGCGAGAUUUUGUUCGCUGAGAUAAAAUGAAAUGAUGUAUAUUUCUGGAGACAGUCUCAUUGACUUUUUCCUGUUUCCUUUCCUUUCCUCUUUUCUAUAUAAAUAUACUUUUUAAAAUCCAAGUAUAAUGGUAGAUUUAAUUUCCAGAGGAUGAGACAUAUUAAGGCUUUGUUUUCUUCUGUUUGUAUUGAAACAAUUGUAUGAUAAAAAUGUUUAUUGUGGGAGUUCCCGUCGUGGCGCAGUGGUUAACGAAUCCGACUAGGAACCAUGAUAUUGCGGGUUCGGUCCCUGCCCUUGCUCAGUGGGUUAAUGAUCCGGCGUUGCCGUGAUCUGUGGUGUAGGUUGCAGACACGGCUCGGAUCCCGCGUUGCUGUGGCUCUGGUGUAGGCCAGUGGCUACAGCUCCGAUUCAACACCUAGCCUGGGAACCUCCAUAUGCCGCAGGAGCGGCCCAAAGAAAUAGCAAAAAAACCAAAAAAAAAAAAAAAAAGUUUAUUGUGGAAGUUCCCGUCAUGGUUCAGUGGUUAACAAAUCUGACUAGGAACCAUGAGGUUACGGGUUCGAACCCUGGCCUUGCUCAGUGGGUUAAGGAUCCGGCGUUGCCAUGAGCUGUGGUGUAGGUGGCAGAUGUGGCUCAGAUCUUCUGUUGCUGUGGCUGUGGUGUAGGCUGGCAGCUGUAGCUCCGAUUAGACCACUAGCCUGGGAAACUCCAUAUGCCGCAGGUACGGCCCUAGUAAAGGCAAAAAAGAAGACACACACACAAAAAAUGUUUAUUGUGGCUUAAAAGGCAAUGAAUCUGUUCAGAUAAGUCAGUAACAUGAGCAAUCCUGCCUGACUUUUCUUCCUCACAGUCCUUAUCAGUAUCCUUCAUUUUUCAGUGACUUAUUAAGCACCUACUAUUGCCAGAUGCUGUUUUCGGUAGCUGGCCUAAAACAUAAGGAUGAAGACUGACUCAAACAUUGACCCCCUGGAGCAUUCAAAUGGGGGAUUCAUAUAGGAACAUAGGAAUACAUAAGUAAGACAGUUUCUACCAGUGAGAAAUGCUGAGCAGGAUUAUAGACCUCUGAAUUUAUAUAGAUGUUCAGGGAGGCCUUUGCUGAGGUCAUUGGUCGUUGAACUGAGUCUCAAAUGUAAGAAGCCAGGUAUGGUAAUACCUGGGACAGAAGUAUGUUAGAAAGAGAAAAAAAUAAGGUUCAAGGGCCUUGGAGGACAGGAAAAUGUCCAGUGUGCCUGAGCAUAAUGAGUAUGUCUACGAGUGGUUGGAGGUGAAGUGGGACAGAUACACAAAGUAAGACAUUUCAGGAAUUUGGCCUUGUUGUUAUUGUGAUGGGAAACCAGAGGGAGGAUAUAGGGAGGGGAAGAUGGUAAUAUGUGUUAUAAUAUGUCCUUCUGCACGCUGUGUAGAGCUGCCUUCUAGGAGUUGCAGUUGGAGACAAGAGAUAGGUGAGAAGGCCAUAGUUAGCUGUGUUCCAGCCAAAAGAUCCUAUCAUCUUAGACUAGAGUGGAGGCAGGAGUUGUGGGUAGAUGCACUGUCAGAUCAGUUGUGCCCUGCAGUUUGGAAGGAGGACUUUUGUGAAGAAAAGAUAGAAAUGAAUCAAGACUCCCUCCUAGGCUUCUGUCUUGAGUGAGAAGGGGGAUGGUGGAAUCGUUAACUGAGGUGGGGAGAGUUGAGAGAGGAUUUGGGGGUAGAGGAUGGGGGUGAAAGUUGUUUUAAGCAUCAUGUGUUCUCAAUUCUUGUUAGAUAUGCAAGUGGAUAUUUUGAGAAGGUAAUUGGUUAGAGAGUGAAAUGGAGGGGAGCAGAUUCCUGCUGAAAGAGCAGACAGUAUAAAGAAGGGCUGUGGUGCAGGAGAGAGUAGGUAUGGACACCUGCAUCAGCAUUGAAAGGCAGGGAGGGGAGACCUACAUGGUGUAACUGGGAGGGAUUUCAUGUAGUUGCAGUGCAGUGAGGCUGUUAUCAGGAGUUAUCAACCCUGAAUGCAUUUUGAAUGCCAUGGGGGAGCAAUAAAAUAUAUAUACCCAUGCUCAGACCCCACCUUAGACUGAUCAGUACCCUUUUUGGACAGGGAAGGGAGUGGCAGACAUCAGUAGUCUUUAUAAUGUUCCCCAGGUGAUUCUAAGGUGUUGCCAGAGUUAUAUAGGUAGCUAGAUUAAAAGAAAGGAAAGAAUGGCCUGCUAAAUCCAUUAGGGAAGUGGCUCUGUAUCUAGGAAGUAAAAGUACCCCAGUAGAACCUACAACCUUUAUCCUUUGGAGAAGACAAAACGUUGGAAAAGAGGGAAGGCCGAGUAUUGCAAGGCUGAGGCUGGGAAUCACAUCAUCCCUACCUGCACCAAAGGCUGGAAACCAAAGCCAACCAAGACUCUGUUCAGUGUGGUUGCCCUUCACGGAAGAGCAGGGUAUGGCCCUGAUAAAUGGCAGCAGUGAGAGGAAAAGGGAGAGGGUGAGUUUCCCACACAACUCCUCCCUGACAAGCCAAGCACUGCAGAUACUUCAGCCCAAGGCAAGGCUCCUAUGGCAAGUCUCAGACUUAAAUUUCCUCUUCAUCCCUAGUAUUGGCUGAAUCUACUUUCUGAGCAAAAUUGUUUAUAGAAAAGUGAAACUUUUUUUGUCUCUAACAAUUUGGCAGUAAUUUAUAAUACCAGCAUUUUUAGAGGCAGAGUGAAAUGGAUGGUAGUAUCAUUUAAUGUGAAGUAUUUCAAUAAUCAUCCUUACCUUUGUUCAGUGAUUCUUCCAGACUUGCAUAAGAAAGGAGGGAAGGAGGGGGAGAGGGAAGGAAGGAAGAAAGGAAGGAAGGAAAGGAAAUGUGUUCAUCGACUUUGUGUGAAGGAGUUCAUUGCACAAAUACACACUUGCAAAGAUUUAUUAACACAAAUUUUCAACAAAGUAGGCAUUACAUAUCAUGUCUUUAAAAUCAUGGCAUGGGAAAGCAUUUACCAUAUAAUAUGAAGUAUGAAAAGUAGGCUUUAAAAUCAUAUAUAGCAGUUAUAUAUGACUACCUUAGAAAAUAAACAUUAUAAUAAGAUACAAAAUUGUAAAAAACAGCUCUUGCUGAGUGAUGGCAUUAUGGUCUACUUUAAUUUUUUUUUUUUUAAUUUCACUUGGACUUCAUUUUAUCUUACUUUAAAUUUCCUUAAUGUUUCAUGCAAUUCAGAUGUUCUAGGGUUUUAGUGAGAACAAAAAUUGAAAUGGUAUUUUAAAAGAGAUUGAUAAAUAAGUUCUUAAUUUUGCAUGAGUUUAAUGAUGAGCUUUAUUAUCUGAUUUUCUAAACUUGGAAUAAUAGUAUCUGCCUCUGAAAGAUGUUAUGCAAAUGAAGGGAAUGACCAGUGGGAAAGCAUGCUGUGUCAUUUCUGAUACAUACUAGAAUCCCAUCAGUGUGAAUGCACCACUGCCUCUACUUCUAAAAAUGAACUUUAUCCCAUGCAGGUACUGGGUUUCACCUAACCUUCUGUCGGUAUAGGUGCCAUAGUAAAAUAGGUGUAAAAUAGUUUCAUCAUCUAUGCUAAUUGAUAUGCUGGUCAUUGGUGAAAAGCAGCAUCCCCCAGGGAUGACCCAUCACCGGGUAAGCCAUGUACGGCCAUGCCAUUGCUUUUUGUCGGUGACUGGUAUAGGAUUGGAUGUUGUUCGGGCAAGGAGAGGUUAAGGGAAUGUGCUGGAGACAGUAGGGAAGGAUUUCUUAUCUGAAUUAAAGAAGGGAAAGAGACUGGAGAACUUGUGUGUUCUGACCUGUGUUUGCUAACUUUUCAUGGAAUCACAAAGCCUGGAACUGCUCCAUCCUUAAUGGGGCCAUGAAACUGUGGGCCUAGAGAUAAAGACCUGGACCUUGAGGAGUCCAUGGAGCUGUCAAAACAAUAGAGUCUGUUUACCUUUGGGCAUCUUGUUGAAUAAACGGCCUUGACAGUCAGUCUAUAGGCCUCUGAUGGUCAAAUGUUUGUCAUUUGCAGCCAGAAGCAGUGCCGUUGACACACCACCUGUGGAAUUUGAUACCUGGUUCUCUAACAGAAAUAGAAAAGUGAGGGGAAAAAAGCUCUGUGUCUACUUAUUUUAUUUUUCAUUUUAUGUUUUUGGCUGUACCUGCAACAUGUGGAAGUUCCCAGGCCAGGGAUCUAACCCACUCCACAGUAGCAAGCCCAGCCACUGCAGUGACAAUGCCAAAUCCUUAACCUUCUGUGCCACAGGGGAACUCCUGUGUCUAUUUAUUUUAAACAUGUAUAACAUCAGACUUUUUUCUUUUAACACAUUUUUUUCUUCCUAUUAAUGGCUAGCUAACCUGGUAAAAUAAUUUAAUUUAAUGUUCAUUCAAAUUUACUGCUGUAAGUUACUCUAGGAACCAAGCCAAAUGAAUUUGGGAGAAUCUGAGAAUCUUAAGCAAAUACAUUGUGAAUUACAACUCUGUAGAAUUCCGUAUCCAAUGUUAUGUCCUAAGGUUUAGAUGGCACACCAUAACACUUCUGAUUAUGCCUAGAUUUUUAAAUUAUACACUGAUUGCCACAGUCACUGAAAAUUUCAUUUAGCUGGAUUUCUCUAAAAUGUUUCAGAUAUUUAUAUUCUGAUAAUAUAGAAAUAUAGAGUUAAAAUUAGGCUACCCUAAAAUGUGUAUGUUUUAUAUGUGUAAUUUAGAGCAAAUUUUGCUGCCCCAGGGAGGAAAUGUUACAGAUGAUGGCUAGAUUCUUUGGGUAAUUUGUGAAAGUGCUGUGUAAACAUGAAAAUAUUCAGGGCAUAUGUUAUUAUUUAUCUGGAAAUGUAACUGAAAUACUGGUUUAUUUUCAGUUAGAAAUAGUAAUAAUUGCAAUGAAACAUUUUAGAAGAGGCUAUGCUAGAACACUUGUUUUUCCUCAGGAUUAUACAAGCUUUUAAUUUAUUUUUACCAAGUAUUAGUGAUAUAAUGAACACAAGUAAUAUACUGAUGAAAUUUAAAGUAUAGAUGAAAGAUAGAAAUGUUUAUUGAUACUUAAAUACAAUUUACUACUACUACUCUCUCUCUCUCUUUUUUCCCUUGGUGAGGAAGGGACUUCCAGAUCAAGAAAUCCUUGAUGGGGGUUCUCUUGUGGCACAGCAGGUUUAGAAUCCAGUGUUGUCACUGCAGUGGCUGGGGUUGCUGCUGUAGGGCAGUUUCCAUCGCUGGCCCAGAAGCUUCUAUAUACUGCAGGUACUGGAAAAAAAGUUAAAAAAGAAGGAAGGAAGGAAAAGAAAGAAAGAAGGAAAGAAAGAAAGAAAGAAAGAAGGAAAGAAAGAAAGAAAGAAAGAAAAAAA